GACGAACGCUGGCGGCGUGCUUAACACAUGCAAGUCGAACGAUGAAGCCCAGCUUGCUGGGUGGAUUAGUGGCGAACGGGUGAGUAACACGUGGGUGAUCUGCCCUGCACUCUGGGAUAAGCCUGGGAAACUGGGUCUAAUACCGGAUAUGACCUCUUGCUGCAUGGCGAGGGGUGGAAAGUUUUUCGGUGCAGGAUGAGCCCGCGGCCUAUCAGCUUGUUGGUGGGGUAAUGGCCUACCAAGGCGACGACGGGUAGCCGGCCUGAGAGGGCGACCGGCCACACUGGGACUGAGACACGGCCCAGACUCCUACGGGAGGCAGCAGUGGGGAAUAUUGCACAAUGGGCGAAAGCCUGAUGCAGCGACGCCGCGUGAGGGAUGACGGCCUCGGGUUGUAACCGUACUUUCUAGCAGGACGAAGCGAAAGUGACGGUACCUGCAGAAGAAG
rnacentral:rRNA from 1 species